rnacentral:lncRNA from 1 species
AUGCAAUCAGCAUGCUGAUUAAGGUUGCUUGGAUUUUUACUAAACAUUAACUGAAUGAAAACGGGUAGUCCUUGUUCUGCUUGGGGGCUUUAAGGAAGCAAAUGGACUUUCAGAACAGAGAUUGUCAAUAAAGGUGAGUGCACUCCAGGAAUGUCCAUCUGGACCUCUGAAUGCCAUCCUCUGAGAAGAUGCCCAUGACAGCAAGCACACUGGAGCGCAACACCAUCCUGGGUGAAGAUUUGUUGCAAUUGAAUGUGGAUGUGCUGAUCUCUGUGCUCCUGGAUAUGGAGCUGUUAAUCUCUCCUCAAGAGCUGGAUGCAGGCCCAGGCUGCCAUGUAGCACUGAGUGAUGCCAUGCCAAUUCUAGACAAGGUCUUUAUUGCUGGAAAUGUUGCAUAAUGACAGUUUUAUUCAUGUGAAAACGCAGAAUACAUUUCAACUGUAUGAAAUUGUUUAUGUUCAUCAGAAAUGUUAUUUGUCUUCACAAAGUCUGGUUUCAAUGAACCAGCUAUGUAAUGGAUAUUAAAUAAACAUGGAAUUUUACAUGUUCA